GACGAACGCUGGCGGCGUGCUUAACACAUGCAAGUCGAACGGAAAGGCCCUGCUUUUGUGGGGUGCUCGAGUGGCGAACGGGUGAGUAACACGUGAGUAACCUGCCCUUGACUUUGGGAUAACUUCAGGAAACUGGGGCUAAUACCGGAUAGGAGCUCCUGCUGCAUGGUGGGGGUUGGAAAGUUUCGGCGGUUGGGGAUGGACUCGCGGCUUAUCAGCUUGUUGGUGGGGUAGUGGCUUACCAAGGCUUUGACGGGUAGCCGGCCUGAGAGGGUGACCGGCCACAUUGGGACUGGGAUACGGCCCAGACUCCUACGUGACGCAGCAGUGGGGAAUAUUGCACAAUGGGCGGAGGCCUGAUACAGCAACGCCGCGUGCGCGAUGACAGACUUUUGGUUGUAAUCCGCUUUCGCCUGUGACGAAGCGGGAGUGACGGUAAUGUGUAAAGAGGCACCGGCUAACUACGUG
rnacentral:rRNA from 1 species